GAUGAACGUUGGCGGUGUGCCUAAUACAUGCAAGUCGAACGGAGACUGUAGCAAUACUGUCUUAGUGGCGAACGGGUGAGUAACGCGUUGGUGAUCUGCCUCGAAGUGUGGAAUAACCUCCCGAAAGGGAAGCUAAUACCGCAUAGUCUCUCAAGGUUUAGAAAAUUGAGAGUAAAGGAUUUAUUCGCUUCGAGAGGAGCCUGCGUCCCAUCAGCUAGUUGGUAGGGUAACGGCCUACCAAGGCAAUGACGGGUAGGGGACCUGAGAGGGUGGCCCCCCACAAUGGAACUGAAACACGGUCCAUACACCUACGGGUGGCAGCAGUAGGGAAUAUUAGAAAUGGGCGGAAGCCUGAUCUAGCAACACCGCGUGUGCGAUGAAGGCCUUCGGGUCGUAAACCUCUGUUGUACGGGAAGAAGGAUGUGACGGUACCGUACGAGAAAGCCCCGGCAAACUACGUG
rnacentral:rRNA from 1 species